GUGGGGAAUAUUGGACAAUGGGCGAAAGCCUGAUCCAGCAAUGCCGCGUGAGUGAUGAAUGCCCUAGGGUUGUAAAGCUCUUUUACCCGGGAUGAUAAUGACAGUACCGGGAGAAUAAGCUCCGGCUAACUUCGUGCCAGCAGCCGCGGUAAUACGAGGGGAGCUAGCGUUGUUCGGAAUUACUGGGCGUAAAGCGCGCGUAGGCGGUUUUUUAAGUCAGAGGUGAAAGCCCGGGGCUCAACCCCGGAAUUGCCUUUGAAACUGGAAAACUAGAAUCUUGGAGAGGUCAGUGGAAUUCCGAGUGUAGAGGUGAAAUUCGUAGAUAUUCGGAAGAACACCAGUGGCGAAGGCGACUGACUGGACAAGUAUUGACGCUGAGGUGCGAAAGCGUGGGGAGCAAACAGGAUUAGAUACCCUAGUAGUCC
rnacentral:rRNA from 1 species